CCUACGGGGUGCUGCAGUGGGGAAUAUUGGACAAUGGGCGAAAGCCUGAUCCAGCCAUGCCGCGUGUGUGAAGAAGGCCUUCGGGUUGUAAAGCACUUUCAGUGGGGAAGAAAGCCUUGGGGCUAAUACCCUCGAGGAAGGACAUCACCCACAGAAGAAGCACCGGCUAACUCCGUGCCAGCAGCCGCAGGUAAUACGGAGGGUGCGAGCGUUAAUCGGAAUUACUGGGCGUAAAGCGCGCGUAGGCGGUCUGAUAAGCCGGUUGUGAAAGCCCCGGGCUCAACCUGGGAACGGCAUCCGGAACUGUCAGGCUAGAGUGCAGGAGAGGAAGGUAGAAUUCCCGGUGUAGCGGUGAAAUGCGUAGAGAUCGGGAGGAAUACCAGUGGCGAAGGCGGCCUUCUGGACUGACACUGACGCUGAGGUGCGAAAGCGUGGGUAGCAAACAGGAUUAGAUACCCCUGUAGUC
rnacentral:rRNA from 1 species